UACGUAGGGGGCAAGCGUUGUCCGGAUUUAUUGGGCGUAAAGAGCGUGUAGGCGGCUAGAUAGGUCCGUUGUGAAAACUCGAGGCUCAACCUCGAGACGUCGAUGGAAACCAUCUGGCUAGAGUCCGGAAGAGGAGAGUGGAAUUCCUGGUGUAGCGGUGGAAUGCGUAGAGAUCCGGAAGAACACCGGUGGCGAAGGCGGUCUGCUGGGGUAAUGCUGACACUGAUGCGCGACAGCGUGGGGAGCAAACAGG
rnacentral:rRNA from 1 species